CUUAGUUAAUCAAAGCUUACAAUCAAAGGACUUAAAUAGAAGAAAAAACUUGAGGUUUAUAAGAGUCAGCGAGAACGAGAACGAUGUGAUGCCCGGCAGGCAGGAGGAGGUGAGGUCCGAAGAGUCAGCGAGGACGACGUAAUGCCCGGCGGGUAGGAGGAUGUGAGGCCCGGCGGGUUUGUCAUGUUCAUUUUUUAGUAUGAAGUAACGAUUGUCGAAAAGAAAUGCUACAAAAUAUGAGAUCUCAAUACAGUCUUGAUUUCUUUUCUUUAAUGUCUUGAUGUUGAAAAAUAUAAUUUCUUUUCCGUUUCUUGAGGAAAGUUUUUUUCUUUGAUGUAUUGAUGUUGAAUUCAUUUUUUGUACAAAACAUAUUUAUGCCAAAAUUAAUUUUUAU
rnacentral:lncRNA from 1 species